rnacentral:rRNA from 1 species
AGUGAACGCUGGCGGUAGGCCUAACACAUGCAAGUCGAACGGCAGCACAGUAAGAGCUUGCUCUUACGGGUGGCGAGUGGCGGACGGGUGAGGAAUACAUCGGAAUCUACUUUUUCGUGGGGGAUAACGUAGGGAAACUUACGCUAAUACCGCAUACGACCUACGGGUGAAAGCAGGGGAUCUUCGGACCUUGCGCGAUUGAAUGAGCCGAUGUCGGAUUAGCUAGUUGGCGGGGUAAAGGCCCACCAAGGCGACGAUCCGUAGCUGGUCUGAGAGGAUGAUCAGCCACGCUGGAACUGAGACACGGUCCAGACUCCUACGGGAGGCAGCAGUGGGGAAUAUUGGACAAUGGGCGCAAGCCUGAUCCAGCCAUACCGCGUGGGUGAAGAAGGCCUUCGGGCUGUAAAGCCCUUUUGUUGGGAAAGAAAAGCAGCAGGUUAAUACCCCGCUGUUCUGACGGUACCCAAAGAAUAAGCACCGGCUAACUUCGUG